UACGGAGGGUGCAAGCGUUAUCCGGAUUUACUGGGUUUAAAGGGUGCGUAGGUGGGUCUGUAAGUCAGUGGUGAAAUCUCCGGGCUUAACCCGGAAACUGCCAUUGAUACUAUAGGUCUUGAAUAUCCUGGAGGUGAGCGGAAUAUGUCAUGUAGCGGUGAAAUGCUUAGAGAUCGGGAGGAACACCAGUGGCGAAGGCGGCUACCUGGACCAGCAUUGACACUCAAGCACGAAAGCGUGGGGAGCAAACAGG
rnacentral:rRNA from 1 species